rnacentral:rRNA from 1 species
GUCCACGCCGUAAACGAUGGGCACUAGGUGCUUAGGGGAGCGACCCUCUGGGUACCGGCGCUAACGCAUGAAGUGCCCCGCCUGGGGAGUACGGCCGCAAGGCUGAAACUCAAAGGAAUUGACGGGUGCCCGCACAAGCGGUGGAGCAUGUGGUUUAAUUCGACGCAACGCGCAGAACCUUACCUAGGCUUGACAUGCACGGGAAAGCUGCUGGAAACAGUGGCCCCUCUUCGGAGCCCGUGCACAGGUGCUGCAUGGCUGUCGU